UAAAAUUCCAUAAACACACACCCCCUUCACCGAACCUAACCGGUUGCAAAAACAGAACGGACAGAAAAUUGCAGCUGCCCAAACUUUCACCAGUCGUGAACGGCAUCCUCGCUGCUUCUAAAGCUCAAGGUGAGCUUCCUUGCCAUGGGGAUCUUCAAAACACACAUACUCCCAAUUGACCCAUCUCUUCCAUAAUGAAAUCCAAGAAAAUCAAAACAAGAAUGAGACCCACAUAUUUAAGUAAAAUAAAUAAAAUGAGAUAAGUCAGACAAGAGUGGAUUGUGGCCAGGGAGAGCAUCUGGAGCUAUGGUGACUGUUAAACGACCACCUCGAAGGGCGAAAAUCGCAAUGAAAUCAUUUUAUUCCAUCAUCUGCAGUGCUGCUUCUUGGGGAUCUUAGGCAUGCUCAUCAUUUUCAGCCCAGCAUCCAGUGAGCUAUUAAUUUGUUCUCCUUCCCCCAUCAAUUGUCUGCUUUUCCUUUCCCUUCAUCGCCCAACAACAGCAGACUCGCAUCAUCGAAAGAAUGGAAGAAAUGAGUCUUAUUCUUUGUCAUGGUUAUUUUUAUAAGGCUUUCCAUGUGGGUGUCUCAUUUUGAGUUGAUGUCAAGGUCUAUGAGAAAGAUUUGUGAGAUAUAAUUUAGAAAAUUGGAAAGAUGUUUUAGGUUUGGAUUUGGAAGAUUUGAUUAUGCUGAUUAGGCUAUUGCUAAAAU
rnacentral:misc_RNA from 1 species